rnacentral:rRNA from 1 species
GCAGCCGCGGUAAUACGUAGGGGGCAAGCGUUAUCCGGAAUUACUGGGUGUAAAGGGUGAGUAGGCGGCAUGGUAAGCCAGAUGUGAAAGCCCGCAGCUUAACUGCGGGAUUGCAUUUGGAACUACUAAGCUAGAGUACAGGAGAGGAAAGCGGAAUUCCUAGUGUAGCGGUGAAAUGCGUAGAUAUUAGGAAGAACACCGGUGGCGAAGGCGGCUUUCUGGACUGAAACUGACGCUGAGGCACGAAAGCGUGGGGAGCGAACAGGAUUAGAUACCCC